CUCAUCUCCCAGUGGGAAGCCUCAGUCCCUGGUCCCUGGAGAGGGGAUCUGGGUCUCUCUGCAUCCAGUGGGAGAGCCUGAAUAGACCUGCAGGAGAGUUCCAGAGAUGUGGGUUCAAGUUCCAGUUCUGCCACUUACGAUUCCAUGAUCCACAGCGAAUUCCUUGUGCCUCAGUUGCCUCACUUGUAAACAGGAGUAAUAACAGUUCUUUACCUAUCUCAGUGGGAAGGCUGAACAACUCCAAGCUCCAUGCCUUGCACAGGCAUACGAAUGACCAAAAGGCAAAUGAAAAGAUUCUGCCCAUCAUCAGGCAUCAGGGAAAUACAAAUCAAAACCACGAGGAAAUGCCACUUCACACCCAGUAAGAUGGGGAUAACCAAAGACAGACAAUAGCCAGCACGAGGCUGUGGGGAAACCGGAGCCCUCAUACAUGGUUGUGUGGGAGUAUAAAAUGGGGCAGCCACGCUGGAACACAGCCUGGCAGUUCCUCAAACGGCUAAACAGAGAGUCACCAUAAGACCCAGCAAUUCCAUUCCUAGGCUGAUACUCAAGAGAACUGAAAACAUACAUCCAUGCAAAACUUGUACAAAAAUGCUCAGAGCAGCAUUAUUGAUAAUAGAUGAAAAGAGGAAACAAUCCAAAUAUUCAUCAACUAAUGAAUGGAUAAACAAAAUAUGGUCUAUCCAUACAGUGGAAUAUUAUUCAGCCACAGAAAGAAAUGAAGUGCUGAUACAUGCUACAAUAUGAAUUAACCUUGAAAACAUGAUGAUAAGUUGCCAGGUGCAGUGGCACGUGCCUGUGGUCCCAGCUACUCUGGAGGCUGAGGUGGGAGGAUCACUUGAUCCCAGGAGUUCAAGGCCACAGUGUGCUCCAGUGGCCUGUGAGUAGCCACUGUACUCCAGCCUGGGCAAUAUAGC